rnacentral:rRNA from 1 species
GACGAACGCUGGCGGCGUGCCUAAUACAUGCAAGUAGAACGCACAGUUUAUACCGUAGCUUGCUACACCAUAGACUGUGAGUUGCGAACGGGUGAGUAACGCGUAGGUAACCUGCCUGGUAGCGGGGGAUAACUAUUGGAAACGAUAGCUAAUACCGCAUAAUAUUGAUUAUUGCAUGAUAAUUGAUUGAAAGAUGCUAUUGCAUCACUACCAGAUGGACCUGCGUUGUAUUAGCUAGUAGGUGAGGUAACGGCUCACCUAGGCGACGAUACAUAGCCGACCUGAGAGGGUGAUCGGCCACACUGGGACUGAGACACGGCCCAGACUCCUACGGGAGGCAGCAAUAGGGAAUCUUCGGCAAUGGACGAAAGUCUGACCGAGCAACGCCGCGUGAGUGAAGAAGGUUUUCGGAUCGUAAAGCUCUGUUGUAAGAGAAGAACGGGUGUGAGAGUGGAAAGUUCACACUGUGACGGUAUCUUACCAGAAAGGGACGGCUAACUACGUG